GAUCAACGCUGGCGGCGUGCAUGAGACAUGCAAGUCGAACGGACGACAAAGCUUGCUUUGUCGUUAGUGGCGGACGGCUGAGUAACGCGUGGGUGACCUGCCCCGAAGUGGGGAAUAACUGCCCGAAAGGGUGGCUAAUACCGCAUGUGGUGGUGUGUUCGAUCACACCAGUAAAGCCGCAAGGCGCUUCGGGAGGGGCCUGCGUCCGAUUAGCUCGUUGGUGGGGUAACGGCUCACCAAGGCGACGAUCGGUAGGUGGUCUGAGAGGACGAUCACCCAGACUGGGACUGAGACACGGCCCAGACUCCUACGGGAGGCAGCAGUCGGGAAUUUUGCGCAAUGGACGAAAGUCUGACGCAGCAACGCCGCGUGAGGGAUGAAGGCCUUCGGGUUGUAAACCUCUUUUCUCAGGGACGAUUGUGACGGUACCUGAGGAAUAAGCCACGGCUAACUACGUGCCAGCAGCCGCCGUAAAAC
rnacentral:rRNA from 1 species